GGGUUGUGAGGUUAAGCGAAUAAGCGUACACGGUGGAUGCCUAGGCAAUCAGAGGCGAUGAAGGACGUGCUAAUCUGCGAAAAGCGUCGGUAAGGUGAUAUGAACCGUUAUACCCGACGAUAUCCGAAUGGGGAAACCCAGUAUCCAAUGGAUACUAUCAUUAACUGAAUCCAUAGGUUAAUGAGGCGAACCGGGAGAACUGAAACAUCUCAGUACCCCGAGGAAAAGAAAUCAACCGAGAUUCCCCUAGUAGCGGCGAGCGAACGGGGAGCAGCCCAGAGUCUUAAUCAAUAGCAGUGUCAGGAGAACGGUCUGGAAAGUCCGGCAGUAAAGGGUGAUAGCCCCGUAUCUGAAGAUGCUGUUAUUGUGAACUCGACGAGUAGGGCGGGACACGUGUUAUCCUGUCUGAAUAUGGGGGGACCAUCCUCCAAGGCUAAAUACUCCUGAUUGACCGAUAGUGAACCAGUACCGUGAGGGAAAGGCGAAAAGAACCCCGGCGAGGGGAGUGAAAAAGAACCUGAAACCGUGUACGUACAAGCAGUAGGAGCCUCUUUAUGGGGUGACUGCGUACCUUUUGUAUAAUGGGUCAGCGACUUAUAUUCUGUAGCAAGGUUAACCGUAUAGGGGAGCCGUAGGGAAACCGAGUCUUAACUGGGCGAAUGAGUUGCAGGGUAUAGACCCGAAACCCGGUGAUCUAUCCAUGGGCAGGUUGAAGGUUGGGUAACACUAACUGGAGGACCGAACCGACUAAUGUUGAAAAAUUAGCGGAUGACUUGUGGAUGGGGGUGAAAGGCCAAUCAAACCGGGAGAUAGCUGGUUCUCCCCGAAAGCUAUUUAGGUAGCGCCUCGUGAACUCAUCUUCGGGGGUAGAGCACUGUUUCGACUAGGGGGUCAUCCCGACUUACCAACUCGAUGCAAACUGCGAAUACCGAAGAAUGUUAUCACGGGAGACACACGGCGGGUGCUAACGUCCGUCGUGAAGAGGGAAACAACCCAGACCGCCAGCUAAGGUCCCAAAGUCAUGGUUAAGUGGGAAACGAAGUGGGAAGGCUCAGACAGCCAGGAUGUUGGCUUAGAAGCAGCCAUCAUUUAAAGAAAGCGUAAUAGCUCACUGGUCGAGUCGGCCCGCGCGGAAGAUGUAACGGGGCUAAACCAUGCACCGAAGCUGCGGCAGCGACACAAAGUGUUGUUGGGUAGGGGAGCGUUCUGUAAGCCUGCGAAGGUGUACUGUGAGGUAUGCUGGAGGUAUCAGAAGUGCGAAUGCUGACAUAAGUAACGAUAAUGCGGGUGAAAAACCCGCACGCCGGAAGACCAAGGGUUCCUGUCCAACGUUAAUCGGGGCAGGGUGAGUCGACCCCUAAGGCGAGGCUGAAAAGCGUAGUCGAUGGGAAACGGGUUAAUAUUCCCGUACUGGUGGUAACUGCGAUGGGGGAACGGAGAAGGCUAGGUUGUCCGGGCGACGGUCGUCCCGGUUCAAGCAGGUAGGCAGAGUGAUUAGGCAAAUCCGGUCACUUAAUGCUGAGAUGUGAUGACGAACCACCAAGGUGGUGAAGCAAUUGAUGCCCCGCUUCCAGGAAAAGCCUCUAAGCUUCAGGUUACCAACAAUCGUACCCCAAACCGACACAGGUGGUCAGGUAGAGAAUACUCAGGCGCUUGAGAGAACUCGGGUGAAGGAACUAGGCAAAAUGGUGCCGUAACUUCGGGAGAAGGCACGCUGGCGGUAGGUAAAGUCCCUCGCGGACGGCGCUGAAGCCAGUCGAAGAUACCAGCUGGCUGCAACUGUUUAUUAAAAACACAGCACUGUGCAAACACGAAAGUGGACGUAUACGGUGUGACGCCUGCCCGGUGCUGGAAGGUUAAUUGAUGGGGUCAGCCGUAAGGCGAAGCUCCUGAUCGAAGCCCCAGUAAACGGCGGCCGUAACUAUAACGGUCCUAAGGUAGCGAAAUUCCUUGUCGGGUAAGUUCCGACCUGCACGAAUGGCGUAAUGAUGGCCAGGCUGUCUCCACCCGAGACUCAGUGAAAUUGAACUCGCUGUGAAGAUGCAGUGUACCCGCGGCAAGACGGAAAGACCCCGUGAACCUUUACUAUAGCUUGACACUGAACAUUGAGCCUUGAUGUGUAGGAUAGGUGGGAGGCUUUGAAGUGUGGACGCCAGUCUGCAUGGAGCCAACCUUGAAAUACCACCCUUUAACGUUUGAUGUUCUAACCUAGGCCCAUAAACUGGGUCGGGGACCGUGUCUGGUGGGUAGUUUGACUGGGGCGGUCUCCUCCUAAAGAGUAACGGAGGAGCACGAAGGUUGGCUAAGCAUGGUCGGACAUCAUGCGGUUAGUGCAAAGGCAUAAGCCAGCUUGACUGCGAGAGUGACGGCUCGAGCAGGUACGAAAGUAGGUCUUAGUGAUCCGGUGGUUCUGAAUGGAAGGGCCAUCGCUCAACGGAUAAAAGGUACUCCGGGGAUAACAGGCUGAUACCGCCCAAGAGUUCAUAUCGACGGCGGUGUUUGGCACCUCGAUGUCGGCUCAUCACAUCCUGGGGCUGAAGUAGGUCCCAAGGGUAUGGCUGUUCGCCAUUUAAAGUGGUACGCGAGCUGGGUUUAGAACGUCGUGAGACAGUUCGGUCCCUAUCUGCCGUGGGCGUUGGAAGAUUGAGAGGGGUUGCUCCUAGUACGAGAGGACCGGAGUGAACGCACCACUGGUGUUCGGGUUGUCAUGCCAAUGGCAUUGCCCGGUAGCUAAGUGCGGAAGAGAUAACCGCUGAAAGCAUCUAAGCGGGAAACUUGCCUCGAGAUGAGUCUUCCCUGUCGCUUUAAGCGACCUAAAGGAACGUUUAAGACUAAGACGUUGAUAGGCUGGGUGUGUAAGCGUAGCGAUACGUUGAGCUAACCAGUACUAAUGAACCGUGAGGCUUAACCUGACAACACCGAAAGUGUUUUG
rnacentral:rRNA from 1 species